rnacentral:ncRNA from 2 species
AACUUCUAUCAAGUCGAUGGUCCCGUGCGAGCGGGCUAACAGGGAACGCCGUCAUGCUCCGGCCGGGUCAUAAGCCCGGGAGCCAAGUCGGAGGCUGCUCCCGCAACUGUAGGCGGUAUGCCGCCGGUUCAUUUACCCCCAUGGGGUAGGUCACUGUUUCCACGAUCAAGGGAAUGGGAAGGCAGGAACCGGCAGGCCAUGAUCCGUGAGCCAGGAGACCUGCCAUCGUCAUUUGCCAAGC